rnacentral:rRNA from 1 species
UCUGGGACAAGCCCUGGAAACGGGGUCUAAUACCGGAUGAUACUGCGGACCGCAUGGUCUGUGGUUGAAAGCUCCGGCGGUGCAGGAUGGGCCCGCGGCCUAUCAGCUUGUUGGUGAGGUAAUGGCUCACCAAGGCGACGACGGGUAGCCGGCCUGAGAGGGCGACCGGCCACACUGGGACUGAGACACGGCCCAGACUCCUACGGGAGGCAGCAGUGGGGAAUAUUGCACAAUGGGCGCAAGCCUGAUGCAGCGACGCCGCGUGAGGGAUGACGGCCUUCGGGUUGUAAACCUCUUUCAGCAGGGAAGAAGCGAAAGUGACGGUACCUGCAGAAGAAGCGCCGGCUAACUACGUGCCAGCAGCCGCGGUAAUACGUAGGGCGCAAGCGUUGUCCGGAAUUAUUGGGCGUAAAGAGCUCGUAGGCGGCUUGUCGCGUCGGUUGUGAAAGCCCGGGGCUUAACCCCGGGUCUGCAGUCGAUACGGGCAGGCUAGAGUUCGGUAGGGGAGAUCGGAAUUCCUGGUGUAGCGGUGAAAUGCGCAGAUAUCACGAGGAACACCGGUGGCGAAGGCGGAUCUCUGGGCCGAUACUGACGCUGAGGAGCGAAAGCGUGGGGAGCGAACAGGAUUAGAUACCCUGGUAGUCCACGCCGUAAACGGUGGGAACUAGGUGUUGGCGACAUUCCACGUCGUCGGUGCCGCAGCUACGCAUUAAGUUCCCCGCCUGG